CGAUCUUAAGAUUGACAAAUUUCGAAUGUUAUGCAAUAACUUGUAGAUUAAGAAGUCUGACAAGAAGUGUUGCACUUCGCUUCUUUAAAGUUAAUUGCUGCUAGAGGACCAUCUGUGUUGACAUCUGGGAAGUUAACAAAGAUUUGGUGCCUUAUAUACUGAAGGAAGCCAUUGGACGAAAUCCAUCUGACCUAUCCAAGAAUACAAGCAAUAGAAGAAUGGAAUCACACUUAGCAACGGCCCUGUGCGUCCUUGGAGCUGUCAAUCUUGUCAUUGCUAUUGUUUAUUGUAUCAUGGAUCGUCCUUGUUCUUCAGUCGUGCAGUUCGCAAUUGCCUUCAACUUGGUCAUUAUCUUUUU